rnacentral:rRNA from 1 species
AUUGAACGCUGGCGGCAGGCCUAACACAUGCAAGUCGAACGAGUGGCGGACGGGUGAGUAAUGUCUGGGAAACUGCCUGAUGGAGGGGGAUAACUCCUGGAAACGGUAGCUAAUACCGCAUACCCUCAGAUGUGCCCAGAUGGGAUUAGAUAGUGGGUGUGGUAAAGGCUCACCUAGGCGACGAUCCCUAGCUGGUCUGAGAGGAUGACCAGCCACACGGGGACUGAGACACGGUCCAGACUCCUACGGGAGGCAGCAGUGGGGAAGAUUGCACAAUGGGCGCAAGCCUGAUGCAGCCAUGCCGCGUGUAUGAAGAAGGCCUUAGGGUUGUAAAGUACUUUCAGCGGGGAGGCGUUACCCGCAGAAGAAGCACCGGCUAACUCCGUGCCAGCCGCCGCGGUAAUAC